CAGUCGCCGCGGGAAUACGGAGGGUGCAAGCGUUAUCCGGAUUUAUUGGGUUUAAAGGGUCCGUAGGCGGACUUAUAAGUCAGUGGUGAAAGCCUGUCGCUUAACGAUAGAACUGCCAUUGAUACUGUAAGUCUUGAGUAUAUUUGAGGUAGCUGGAAUAAGUAGUGUAGCGGUGAAAUGCAUAGAUAUUACUUAGAACACCAAUUGCGAAGGCAGGUUACCAAGAUAUAACUGACGCUGAGGGACGAAAGCGUGGGUAGCGAACAGGAUUAGAUACCCGGGUAGUCCCUGUCUCUUAUAC
rnacentral:rRNA from 1 species